rnacentral:rRNA from 1 species
GCGCAAUGGGCGAAAGCCUGACGCAGCAACGCCGCGUGAGGGACCGAAGGCCUUCGGGUCGUAAACCUCUUUUUCUGGGGGAAAGAGCAAGGACGGUACCUCAGGAAUAAGUCUCGGCUAACUACGUGCCAGCAGCCGCGGUAAAACUAGGAGGCGAGCGUUAUCCGGAUUUACUGGGCGUAAAGCGCACGCAGGUGGCUUCGUUAGUCGGACAUGAAAGCUCCCGGGCUUAACUGGGAGAGGCUGUUCGAUACUGCGGGGCUUGAGGUUGGGAGAGGGGUGUGGAAUUCCCGGUGUAGUGGUGGAAUGCGUAGAUAUCGGGAGGAACACCUGUGGCGAAAGCGGCACCCUGGCCCACACCUGACGCUGAGGUGCGAAAGCGUGGGUAGCAAACAGGAUUAGAUAUCCUGGUAGUCCACGCCGUAAACGAUGUCAACUGGGUGUCGGUAGUUUUACACUAUCGGUGCCGAAGCAAACGCGUUAAGUUGACCGCCUGGGGACUACGGCCGCAAGGCU